AACGGUAACAGGUCUUCGGAUGCUGACGAGUGGCGAACGGGUGAGUAAUACAUCGGAACGUGCCCGAGAGUGGGGGAUAACGAAGCGAAAGCUUUGCUAAUACCGCAUACGAUCUCAGGAUGAAAGCAGGGGACCGCAAGGCCUUGCGCUCACGGAGCGGCCGAUGGCAGAUUAGGUAGUUGGUGGGAUAAAAGCUUACCAAGCCGACGAUCUGUAGCUGGUCUGAGAGGACGACCAGCCACACUGGGACUGAGACACGGCCCAGACUCCUACGGGAGGCAGCAGUGGGGAAUUUUGGACAAUGGGCGCAAGCCUGAUCCAGCCAUGCCGCGUGCAGGAUGAAGGCCUUCGGGUUGUAAACUGCUUUUGUACGGAACGAAAAGACUCUGGUUAAUACCUGGGGUCCAUGACGGUACCGUAAGAAUAAGCACCGGCUAACUACGUGCCAGCAGCCGCGGUAAUACGUAGGGUGCGAGCGUUAAUCGGAAUUACUGGGCGUAAAGCGUGCGCAGGCGGUUAUGUAAGACAGAUGUGAAAUCCCCGGGCUCAACCUGGGAACUGCAUUUGUGACUGCGUAGCUAGAGUACGGCAGAGGGGGAUGGAAUUCCGCGUGUAGCAGUGAAAUGCGUAGAUAUGCGGAGGAACACCGAUGGCGAAGGCAAUCCCCUGGGCCUGUACUGACGCUCAUGCAC
rnacentral:rRNA from 1 species